rnacentral:rRNA from 1 species
AUUGAACGCUGGCGGCAUGCUUUACACAUGCAAGUCGAACGGUAACAGGGUGCUUGCACCGCUGACGAGUGGCGAACGGGUGAGUAAUGCGUCGGAACGUGCCGAGUAGUGGGGGAUAACGCAGCGGAAGUUGUGCUAAUACCGCAUACGUACUGAGGUAGAAAGUGGGGGACCUUCGGGCCUCACGCUAUUCGAGCGGCCGACGUCUGAUUAGCUAGUAGGUGAGGUAAGAGCUCACCUAGGCGACGAUCAGUAGCGGGUCUGAGAGGAUGAUCCGCCACACGUGGACUGGGACACGGCCCAGACUCCUACGGGAGGCAGCAGUGGGGAAUUUUGGACAAUGGGCGCAAGCCUGAUCCAGCCAUGCCGCGUGUCUGAAGAAGGCCUUCGGGUUGUAAAGGACUUUUGUCAGGGAGGAAAUCCUAGUGGCUAAUAACUGCUGGGGAUGACAGUACCUGAAGAAUAAGCACCGGCUAACUACGUGCCAGCCGCCGCCGUAACAC